rnacentral:rRNA from 1 species
AUUGAACGCUGGCGGCAGGCUUAACACAUGCAAGUCGAGCGGAGAUGAGGUGCUUGCACCUUAUCUUAGCGGCGGACGGGUGAGUAAUGCUUAGGAAUCUGCCUAUUAGUGGGGGACAACAUUCCGAAAGGAAUGCUAAUACCGCAUACGUCCUACGGGAGAAAGCAGGGGAUCUUCGGACCUUGCGCUAAUAGAUGAGCCUAAGUCGGAUUAGCUAGUUGGUGGGGUAAAGGCCUACCAAGGCGACGAUCUGUAGCGGGUCUGAGAGGAUGAUCCGCCACACUGGGACUGAGAAAAGGCCCAGACUCCUACGGGGGGCAGCAGUGGGGAAUAUUGGACAAUGGGCGGAAGCCUGAUCCAGCCAUGCCGCGUGUGUGAAGAAGGCCUUAUGGUUGUAAAGCACUUUAAGCGAGGAGGAGGCUACUUUAGUUAAUACCUAGAGAUAGUGGACGUUACUCGCAGAAUAAGCACCGGCUAACUCUGUGCCAGCAGCCGCCGUAACAC